GGGGAUGUAGCUCAAUGAUAGAGUGUUUGCCUAGUAUGUAUAAGGCCCUGGGUUUAAUCCCCACCACCCUG
rnacentral:tRNA from 1 species